CUAGCUGUAAACGAUGGAUACUAGGCGUUGAGAGUAUCGACCCUCUCAGUGUCGUAGCUAACGCGUUAAGUAUCCCGCUUGGGGAGUACGCGCGCAAGCGUGAAACUCAAAGGAAUUGACGGGGGCCCGCACAAGCGGUGGAGUAUGUGGUUUAAUUCGAUGCAACGCGAAGAACCUUACCAGGGCUUGACAUGUCCGGAACCCUGCCCAAAGGCGGGGGUGCCUACGGGAACCGGAACACAGGUGGUGC
rnacentral:rRNA from 1 species